GUUUUUUCUAAAGAGGAAGCCAAGGCGUGUCACACUGUAAGGGCAAUGACAAAAAAUAAGGAACCAGGCAGGAUGAUUUCAGAGUCCGUUUUUUGGUUAUUCCACUCAACCUUUUCGAAGUUCCCCUUCUGUUUCCGUCAUGCAGAACUCAUUGCAGGUUUCCACAUGUUGAAAUGCUCAGUUCAUUACACACUGUUCCUUAUUCUAAUUACUUAUGGGGUUGUGGUUAAUCAGAGUCAGGUGCCUUUCGGGUCUAAUCUCAAUUCCGUGAUCUUGGACAAAUGAUUCUACUUAUCUAGGACUCGUGUCAAGUCUUACCUGUGAAAUGGGUCAGUGGUUAAACCUUCCAGUUCUGCUUCUGGAUUUUACACUGCAGUCCAUUUCCUGCAGCCCCUUUUACAGCCUCAGGUUCCCAGCUGCUUAGGAAUCACCUCACAUUAAGGUAUGCACCCGGAGACAGAAAAUGAAACGGGGGUUGAGAACUCAGAACGCCCACGGUCCCUGCUACAGCCUGGGACUGCAGGUGGCUAAAAGGAAAAGGGAGGUUGCAAGGGCUGGGGUCCACGCAGCCCAGGGCUCCGCCGCGUUCCCAGCUCCUGGGCCGAAGGAGCUGUCAGCGGGCCACCCAAGGCCGUGCCUCAGCUCCACUAACCACUGCUUUUUCCACGCCGCCCGCCACACCUGAGGGCUGCGCCAGGCCCGUUCCGUUGGUUAAGUCUGGGUUUCCCCGCGGGUCAGGUUCCUUUCCGACUCUACGCCACCGAGACCCCAAGGUCCCAGAUGCCCCCCAGGCCAGGAAGUACUUCACCAUUUACCAAACCUCACCUCAGCAACAACAGUCCCGCCUCGCCUCAGGCGGGGAAGAAGGGCCGCCCAAUCCCCAACGCUCAGGCCUACCUAACGCUAAUCCUAAAUGGGAGGAGCCGGACACCCAGAGCUCCCACUACUUGGCCGAGAGCCCAUUGGUUGGACACCCGACUGGGUCCACGCCUCAAGAGGCUCUGCGCGCGUAUCCCCGGCAGCGCGGCGGCGCCCAAUUGCGCCGACUUCCGAUUGGCUGUCAGAGCUCUCGGCUUGUCUCGCGCUCUUUGGCGGGGCCAAUGGGGAUACUCGCAGUCGAGAGGCCGGCAUUGCAGGAGUGGUGGCGCAGCUGUUUCCUCUGGAUAUACACCAAAUAUUGAGAAGAAAGAACAUCAGGAGCUAAAUGUUCUAUUUAAAGCAGUAGUUGCUGCUCAGAAAAUACACAACAGAAAAUGCAGACCCAAAGUCAGUGUUUUAUAUUUUCUUCAUGCAAGAGCAAUGCACUGAAGGAGAGAAGUGUAAGUUUUAUCUUAU
rnacentral:lncRNA from 1 species